rnacentral:lncRNA from 1 species
GGCUGGAGGAGAGUCACACAGAUACUACAGAGUCCUGCCUUUAAGGAUGAGUUGGAGGGGCUGAUUGAGGAGCAGAAGAAGAAAGGCAACAACCCCACUGGUCUCCUGGCCCUCCGACAGAUCGCUGACUUCUUCAUGUCUUCAUCCGUGGCUGGCUUCAGCACCUCACCCCUAAGCCUUGGAAUGGUCACUCCCAUCAACGACAUGUAUGGAGUGGAGUCUACCACUCUGGUGAAGGGGGAGAAGCACACACGCUGCAAGCUGGCCAGCCUCUACAGACUGGUGGACCUGUUCAGCUGGGCACACUUUGCCAGCUCCUACAUCACAGUAAGACAACCACUAGAAAACCUUUUUAAAACCUUUAUUAGAACCUGUUCAGCUGGGCACACUUCGCCGCUCCUACAUCACAGUAAGAAAUAAACCUUGCACUAACCUCAUUCAUAACUGUCAUAACGUGUCUUAACUCAUCAUAAACCUUUCUGUAGAACUGUGUUUUGAGACAAUACUGCAAGCAGUAUGUGUCAUCUGAGUUCUGUCUAUCCCUGCCUACAGGACUACCCCCCGGUGUGUUUUCAGGACACAUACAACUGUGUGCCCGUCCUUUUGUUUGGGAGCAGUGUGUUUGGCAUCAGGUUCCUAAAGUUUUGUUUGUGUCAGCAGCAGCAGCACUGUGUGUUUCAAGGUCAUAACAAGGUGUUUUCCGUUGUUGUGUCCAGGUCCGAGCAGCAAAGAGCAGGACCACACUCAUCCAUCAUCCCCAGAGGACUGUCAUUCGCUGAGGCGUCCGCAUCCAACCUGGUAAAGCUGAACAUCAUCGGGGAUGUGAUUGACCAGGGCUCCACCAACCUCAGGUUGACCCGUCAGGCUUCAGCCCCCACGCUGCCAUCUACUCCAUCAGGCCAGACGCUCGCUGCUGCGUCCACGUGCACACUCCUGCCACCGCCGCCGUGUCGUCUAUGAAGUGUGGCAUCCUGCCCAUCUCUCAGGAGGCCUUGAUCCUGGGUGACAUCGCAUACUACAACUACCAGGGUAGCCUUGACGACCAGAGGAACGCCUGGCGCUGCAGAAGGCCCUCGGACCCUCAGCCAGGUAAGAUCUAGGAUCAAAUUACCCCACCCCAAAACGUGAUGUUAAUUGCUAGUUCGGGGGAUG